AAAGAACCGUACGACGACCUCUCACACGAAGAAAAAAACUAACGAUCUCUCCCUGCGCCUGGGAACUCGAUCUGGAUCACGGCGGCGGCGGCGGCGGCGACGACUCCUCUCUCUCCCUCCGCGCACCGACGCAUCCCCCGGAGCCCUGCCCACCUCCUCCCUUUUCAGCGCCCACAUCGUGACCCCUGUGGCUACUCCACUCUUGAGGCGUCGUGGAGGUUACGGAAACCCGAUGGCGUUGGCUUGCCGGAGAUGAAGAAGACAGCCAGGUGAUGCGGUACUCGGGAGGUGGAAUUGGCAACGGAGGUGGCUCCAUAUGGAUGCCGCGGACCUCCCACUGGAUGGAAUCGAAGUGGGACGAUGUGCUUCGGUCGUCAACGACGGCUGCGCGGGAUGCAGUAUGGUAUGGAUCGGGCAUCUCGAGGAUGGGCUCUCUUCGCAAGGCCUCCUCCACGCCACAGCGGAGGUGUUUGAGGAGUCUGUCCCGGGGCUGCUCGUGAAGCAUGUCGACGUCUCCGUCUUGCCAUUGCUCAAAACACCGCCCUGCCGGCCGGGGUCCUUAUUUGCCAUCGAGGCCUUCCGCAACAGGGUCCAUGAUGCCUGAUUGCUUCCUCUUCGGCUGGAUCGGGUCCAACCACACAAUUAUUGUACUACUGUCUUGAGUGGCAAAUAUUUACUGAGAUGGGAUAAUAGGUAUACUAUUUUUCUAUUUCAAGACUGAAAUAUGAUUUCUUCCUGCUCUAUGUCAAUUUAAUUUUUUCCUGAAUAAUUUACCAACACAGUGCAGGUUGAUGUGUGUAGCACGUGUUAACAAAAUCUCAAUUAUCUGCAUGGUAUAUAUAUCUCUAAUAAUUGUCUUUUCCAGAAUGAAGAGAAGGUUUGAGAAAGAUAAUACUAAUAUUCCCGAUACAUUUGACAUUUAACUUUUACCAGAUUCUUGGAUUCCUCAAAAUCAUGUCUAUUAGCGUUUCUUCUAUAUAUAUAUGCAUGAUCUUUCCUUUUGAAAUUCUCAUCAUGUACAUGAUUUUUGCUACUGCUGGCCUUGAAUUGGCACUGAUUUGGGCCACCUUGUUGAAUGAUUCGUGCACUGAUGUGUUUCGUUGGUCUUUUGCGGCAUGUGGGGAGCGUAAACUGGAAGAACGUGUGCAGCAGGCAUCGCUGCUGCGCUGGACGACGUUGUGCGAGGCCAUGGCCAUGGACGAUGUGCUGUUGGAGAACGACGCAUGACUAAGGUAGUCGAUGUGAACGACCACUGGAAUUCCAAUUGCUUAUGGAUUUGUAUGAUGCAGCCUACAUGUUCCCAUCAUCCAGUAAAAUAUAGACAUCAAUUAUUGCAUCUGGGUUUAUAUUAUGCAUCCCCGCUGCCAGUUUCAUUGUUAAGUAGGAACGCAGAUUACAUUUAUAAAUGAUAUAUGUAUGUAAUUGUGUGCUGCAUUCUUGCUGUGCUUCCAGUAGAUGUACUAUCUUUUCAGCGUUGACUUUUAAAGCGUUUUUGCUGACAAGAAGCUUAUCAGUCGUAAUGUUCAGCACCUACAUUACCUGAUGGUCAUGUAGUGCUAGGGAAAUAGAUAUUAAUGUGGGAAAUAGAUAUACAAUAUGUUAUAAAGGAUAAGACAAAUAAUUAUUGGGUGUGAAAGAUCAGGAUGGAAGCAUUUUUUUUGCUAUCAUAUGAAUUAUUGAAUACAAUCUCGUAUGCAACCCCUCAAAAUUAGAUUUAAUUCAUGCUCGUACACCAUCACUUAAGUAGGAAAAGAGAAGUAUUUCUAAGGCUACUCUAUAUCUUAUUUUUCUUUCACAACAUAUAUAUUAUUAGUUAUAUGUUUGCUUGGGUAGGAAAGUAACAAUCAAUCCCUCAAAAUAAAAGGAAACUAAUGAUCAAGACCUUAGCUGGCUGACGGUAACUCCAUUCAUUCUCUUCCAAUUAUUAUUAUUUUAGUUAUUUUUCUAUUCUCAUGGGUAGGUUUCUUCUGUGUUGUUUUGCUUUAGUUUCGUAGUUGUCACUCCCAUGUAUCUCUUCGACGAGGAGACGUGGACACGAGGCCUAACUAUCCGGUAUAAAUUGGUUUUCCCACUGUCGCUGUGAGAUUGGAUUGUUGUUCCCUUUUCUGCACAUGAUUGUUCCACUUGUGAUUUAUCAUAUAUGAAUUGCUACUUGACAUCCUUUUGAUCCAGCGUGAUUUCUUGCUUCUUCUCAUCUUGUUGACUACUGGUUGUGUUUGUUCUCUCGCCAAAGGCCGGGACUUUGAGUUGCCUGCCAUGGUGGAGCUCGGGAUGUUGGCAGAUCUGACCGGACUGGUGAGCACUCUGCCCACACCUGCCGAGGUCGCCCUGCUCUGUGCCAUGCUCGGAAAUGGCGAAUUUACGUAUCCUUAUCAGCCUUAUACUAAUACAUGUAUCUGUAUCGGUGCAUUCUUGGAUUUCAUGUAUAAGCCGCUCAAGAGAAAUUUAAAUAAGUGCCAUUUGGAGUAACAGUCUACAAUGCCACAACACUUUGUUGGACCUAUUUUUGGCGUUUCUUCUGCCAGCUGAUGAGUCUUUCAGGGAUGCAAAUUGUCUGCCUUCGGAAAAUCAGAAGAAUGAAAGAAUGGGAUUUAUAGCAUAUAUGCUCUAUGUGCAGCUGAUGAAGCUUUGAGAGAUGAAAUUGGUUGCCUUCGGAAAAUAAGAAGAAGGAAAGAACGGGUGUUUCAAUUGGUGGGGGAAUCGGAAGCAUCUCAGACAUUUUAAAUGCAUGACUGCUGAUUGCUGAAAAUGAAAUAUGCAGUUAUGGAUCCAUUCUAUAGUUGGAAUAUGAGACUCCAUAUAUGUGUGUAUGUUUAUUCUUGCUUGAAUCUGGAGCUGAAGGUGUGAACAGCAAUUUGCAACGUCGUGGCAAGGUUCAGUUCGGCAAGGAGACCAAUGAGGCAGCUACUUGUACAAUGUCCAAGCCGAUUGUACUCUGGCCUGUCAAACAAGAAGACUCUGAUGCAACUAGCUGCUGAAAAGGAGAUGAAUGUGGUCAUGUUGACAACCAAGACAAAGAAGCAGGAGACCAAGCCUUCUGCGUUCCCCAUUGGCAUGCACAAGGAGUUCCGCAAGAUGGACAAUGUUGUCCAGAAUUAGGUCACUAGCAGCUACUACAUGACCGACUUGACCAAGCCCACUCUUCCAAGACUAUCAAUUUACCGCAACCUCCAAGUUACGGCGACGCAUGGGCGGGGCAGCCACCCCCCAGAUCCCGUUAGCACAGUGUCAUAAAAAUAUAUUUAUACUGAUUGUUGCGCAAAGUAGAAGGCUAUUGUUUGUAGUUAUUAGUUUAUUUCCUCUAUAUACAAUGACACGGUUUACUGUGUGUCCAAGAGGAAGGAAAAAUAGAUUUAUAGGUGUUAUGUGACUUACCUUUUAAAAGGAAUAACUUCAUGCUA